GUAGGGGGCGAGCGUUGUCCGGAUUUAUUGGGGCGUAAAGAGCUCGUAGGCGGUUGCGUAAGUCGGGAUGUGAAAACUCAGGGGCUCAACCCUGAGAUGCCAUUCGAUACUGCGCUGACUCGAGUCCGGUAGGGGAGCAUGGAAUUCCUGGUGUAGCGGUGAAAUGCGCAGAUAUCAGGAGGAACACCAGUGGCGAAGGCGGUGCUCUGGGCCGGUACUGACGCUGAGGAGCGAAAGCAUGGGUAGCAAACAGGAUUAGAUACCCUGGUAGUCCAUGCCGUAAACGUUGGGCACUAGGUGUGGGGCCUACUUAACGGGUUCCGUGCCGUAGCUAACGCAUUAAGUGCCCCGCCUGGGGAGUACGGCCGCAAGGCUA
rnacentral:rRNA from 1 species